rnacentral:rRNA from 1 species
GAGUUUGAUCAUGGCUCAGGAUGAACGCUAGCGACAGGCCUAACACAUGCAAGUCGAGGGGCAGCACAAGGUAGCAAUACUGAGGUGGCGACCGGCGCACGGGUGAGUAACGCGUAUGCAACCUGCCUGUAACAGGGGAAUAGCCUCUUGAAAGAGAGAUUAAUGCCGCAUAAUACGAGAUUCGGGCAUCCGGAUUUAGUUAAACAUUUAUGGGUUACAGAUGGGCAUGCGUUUCAUUAGGUAGUUGGUGAGGUAACGGCUCACCAAGCCGACGAUGAAUAGGGGUUCUGAGAGGAAGGUCCCCCACACUGGUACUGAGACACGGACCAGACUCCUACGGGAGGCAGCAGUGAGGAAUAUUGGUCAAUGGACGCAAGUCUGAACCAGCCAAGUCGCGUGAAGGAUGAAGGUAUUAUGUAUUGUAAACUUCUUUUGUCAGGGAAUAAUGGGUGUCACGUGUGACGCAGAGGAAUGUACCUGACGAAUAAGCAUCGGCUAACUCCGUGCCAGCAGCCGCGGUAAUACGGAGGAUGCGAGCGUUAUCCGGAUUUAUUGGGUUUAAAGGGUGCGUAGGCGGUUUGUUAAGUCAGUGGUGAAAGUUUGCGGCUCAACCGUAAAAUUGCCAUUGAAACUGGCGAACUUGAGUACAGUAGAGGUAGGCGGAAUUCGUGGUGUAGCGGUGAAAUGCUUAGAUAUCACGAAGAACUCCGAUUGCGAAGGCAGCUUGCUGGACUGUAACUGACGCUGAGGCACGAAAGCGU